rnacentral:rRNA from 1 species
UACAGAGGUCUCAAGCGUUGUUCGGAUUCAUUGGGCGUAAAGGGUGCGUAGGUGGCGCCAUAAGUCAGGUGUGAAAUCUCGGGGCUUAACUCCGAAACUGCAUUUGAUACUGUGGUGCUUGAGGACUGGAGAGGAGACUGGAAUUCACGGUGUAGCAGUGAAAUGCGUAGAGAUCGUGAGGAAGACCAGUGGCGAAGGCGGGUCUCUGGACAGUUCCUGA